rnacentral:misc_RNA from 1 species
GAUGAAGAACGCAGUGAAAUGCGAUACGUAAUGUGAAUUGCAGAAUUCAGUGAAUCAUCGAGUCUUUGAACGCACAUUGCGCCCCCUGGUAUUCCGGGGGGCAUGCCUGUCCGAGCGUCAUUGCUGCCCUCAAGCACGGCUUGUGUGUUGGGCCCCCGCCCCCCGGUUCCCGGGGGGCGGGCCCGAAAGGCAGCGGCGGCACCGCGUCCGGUCCUCGAGCGUAUGGGGCUUCGUCACCCGCUCUUGUAGGCCCGGCCGGCGCUUGCCGACACAUCAAUCUUUUUUCCAGGUUGACCUCGGAUCAGGUAGGGAUACCCGCUGAACUUAAGCAUAUCAAUAAGCGGAGGA